GUCAAACAGUGUCCUUUCUCUUCUCCAUUUAGUUCACACGCAUUCUCUUCUCUCGCUCCUGGCAACAAUCUUCAUAGGUUCUCGUGUACUGGCAUUUCAGAGAUUCUGCCAUUUUCAUAGUUUUUGGUACUGAUCAACUUGAUCUCAAAUUACUGGGAUCAGAAAGGUCAAUCCAAGCUCUUGGAGGUUAGCUUUCUGAAUAUGAUGAUGAUGUUGAUGAAGAUGGAAAAGUGGAGGACAGGACAAGUUGUGCCGGAUUGACAUACAAACCAUGAGCUGUUGAUGUUGAUGAACAAACUUAAAAUACCAUGCAAAUCACGAGCUGCAUGUUGAGAUAGGUAGAUCAGGUCGUGUCGGACUAGUUGGGCUAGUUAGAACGAAUUAUACUAGGUUGACAGGUUGAAUAAGUUGUCUUGGCUCACAUAUUUUGGCUCGACCCUUUUUACCACCUCUAAAAGUAGUUUGAACCAUUUGGCAUUCUAGCUAUUGUAGAUGACCAACUUUCAUAGCUAACACCAAUUUAUUUCCAUCUUUCUAGUA